GACGUAGGGGGCCAGCGUUGCUCGGAAUUACUGGGUGUAAAGGGUUCGUAGGCGGUGUGGCAAGUCGGGAGUGAAAACUCUGGGCUCAACCCAGAGCCUGCAUCCGAAACUGGGGUGCUAGAGUUCUGGAGGGGAUAGCGGAAUUCCUGGUGUAGCGGUGAAAUGCGUAGAUAUCAGGAGGAACACCGGUGGCGAAGGCGGCUAUCUGGACAGAAACUGACGCUGAGGCGCGAAAGCUAGGGGAGCAAACAGG
rnacentral:rRNA from 1 species